CUUGGGAAAACCAAUCCAANAAUGAAAUCAUUGCAACCUUACUACAAAACUUGACAGACGUGUUUAGGAGAGGAGAUGGGUACAGCUUUAUAUAAAUCUACAGGCAGGCAAACUAAAUAGCCAAACUUGAGAAGUUCUCGAGCCCAAUUCUUAAUAAUUUCAAACCAUCAUCAAUGAAACCAGAAGCAAAGGCACAUACAGGUAUUAAUGAAUAAUAUCCGGAACUUCCAACUAAGAGAGUUCUAUAGAAUUUUUACCAGACGAAACAUGCGAAGAAAGCACUUUGGUGAUGGCUGCGUGAACUGUGCUGCUUUGCUUUCAACCCAAAAAGUGCUUUCUAGAUAACCAUCAACGGUUCUGGAAACUUAUUCUAUCCCAAUUACAAAACAAUGUAGGCAGCAUUUCAAAAGUUGAUUCAAAGAGUAAGUAUACACUCUGCAUUCGACAAUCUUGUCUCUCUCUCCUGCUGUAGGGCAUAGUAUUGUUAAACACCAGAGAAUAUCAAUCCGCAGGAUACAAGGAAGGAUGAAAGAAAUGCUGAUUCUAAAAAACCAUGAAUAAAGAUAGCGCCGUUCACAAGGCAAUCAAAUACUGCCAAAACAUAUUAUAAAUGUGGAACAUCCUGUUCACACAAAAAACCCGAGGAUAUCAGUUUGAGCAGAAUAAGAUAACACUAACAAGUUAUUAUGCCAAAGCAUCAAGAGUUUAACUGCUCUUUCUCCCUCCAAGGCUAUCCCAUUUUAUGUCCAUGUCUCCUCAAGAGCUCAAGUCGUUAGAGCGAAAACUUACCAAGCUAAUGACCUGGGUUUGAGCCUCCCUUUGGGGAAGGGGUGAAAUCCUUUGAUUCCUCUUUGAGAAAAAGAGAGAGAAAAAAAAAAUUAAACCAGGUAUAUAACAGAAAUAUACAUAUUUACACAGUUUGCAAUAACAAAAAGGGCAUGUAACUCCACAGCAAUGUCAAUAAACAACACAAGAUAGAAUCAAAGCUGGAUUAAAAUUCCCCUAAUUGAUAUUACUCCCUACCAUGGCAGGAAAUCUAAAGCUCAAACAACGAAUAUAAAUCUGAUAUCUUGAACAAGAUGCUUAUAUUAUAAGUGAUAGUGGAUCCAAAUGCUAUUAAGGCGUCACCAGGAGGAAAAGAAAAUCAAGUACAAUCAAUUCCAGAAGAUUUCGAAUCUCCUCAUUAGAAUUUACAAUCAAAAUGGCUAAAGGCUACAAACACACACUGUCAAAAGAUAUCAUAGAUAAAACUUCUAAGCAAGAUGCAGAUGAUAGUUUUUUUUUUUUACCAUUUACUUCAAAUGAUAUGCAGCUUAGUUAAGGACCCAUUUAGCCAACACCAAAUUUAUUAGGAACAAGGCUUAGUUUGUUAUUGUAGUAUUCAAUUUAUGUACAAUCAUGACAGGACAAGCAAUACUUAUACGUGCUAAUAUAUCAUGGUUUUGAAUGUCUUCUACCUCAUAAAUUUGGUAAGGAAUGAUAAUAUCUGUUGAGAGGUGUAUUUGAAAAGCUUAAGCCUAGAAAGUCUCAUUGAACUUUCAAAUUUGUGUUUAAAGGACAAAUAUGGAAGAUUUAUUGAAUGCUACCCGAUUUUGAGGCAGUUUACUGUGAGUAUCUUUCAGAUUUACGUCUCUCUAAAUGAACCUAUACGUGAGUCAUGUAUGUAAUAGCUCAAGCUCAGAUCAUCCCAUUUUAUGUCCAUGUCUCCUCAAUAGCUCAAGUUGUUAGAGCAAAAACUUACCAAGCUAAUGACCUGGGUUUGAGCCUCCCUUUGAGGAAGGGGUGAAAUCCUUUGAUUCCUCUUUGAGAAAAAAAGAGAGAAAAAAAUUAAACCAGGUAUAUAACAGAAAUUUACAUAUUUACACAGUUUGCAAUAACAAAAAGGGCAUGCUACUCCACAGCAAUGCCAAUAAACAACACAAGAUAGAAUCAAAGCAAUAAACAACACAAGAUAGAAUCAAAGCUGGAUUAAAAUUCCCGUAAUUGAUAUUACUCCCUACCAUGGCAGGCAAUCUAAAGCUCAAACAACGAAUAUAAAUCUGAUAUCUUGAACAAGAUGCUUAUAUUAUAAGUGAUAGUGGAUCCAAAUGCUAUUAAGGCAUCACCAGGAGGAAAAGAAAAUCAAGUACAAUCAAUUCCAGAAGAUUUCAAAUCUCCUCAUUAGAGUUUACUAUCAAAAUGGCUAAAGGCUGCAAAAACACUGUCAAAAGAUAUUAUAGAUAAAACUUAUAAGCAAGAUGCAGAUGAUAGUUUUUUUUUUUUACCAUUUACUUCAAAUGAUAUGCAGCUUAGUUAAGGACCAAUUUAGCCAACACCAAAUUUACUAGGAACAAGGCUUAGUUUGUUAUUGUAGUAUUCAAUUUAUGUACAAUCAUGACAGGACAAGCAAUACUUAUACGUGCUAAUAUAUCAUGGUUUUGAAUGUCUUCUACCUCAUAAAUGAAUACAAGUAUGCUGAUGAUCUGAGCUCGAGCUUUUACAUACAUGACUCACAUAUAGGUUAAUUUAGAGAGACGNAAAUCUGAAAGAUAUUCACAGUAAGCUGCCUCAAAUCGGGUAGCAUUCAAGAAAUCUUCCAUAUUUGUCCUUUAAACACAAAUUUGAAAGUUCAACGAGACUUUCUAGGCUUAAGCUUUUCAAAUACACCUCUCAACAGAUAUUAUCAUUCCUUACCAAAUUUCAAUUUAAAAUUAAAUA
rnacentral:lncRNA from 1 species